UACGGAGGGGGCUAGCGUUGUUCGGAAUUACUGGGCGUAAAGCGCACGUAGGCGGCUUUGUAAGUUAGAGGUGAAAGCCCAGGGCUCAACCCUGGAAUUGCCUUUAAGACUGCAUCGCUUGAACAUCGGAGAGGUAAGUGGAAUUCCGAGUGUAGAGGUGAAAUUCGUAGAUAUUCGGAAGAACACCAGUGGUGAAGGCGACUUACUGGACGAUUGUUGACGCUGAGGUGCGAAAGCGUGGGGAGCAAACAGG
rnacentral:rRNA from 1 species